GCGUGGCAGAACACCUGGACCCACUGUCCUUGUCAGAGAGGGCACAAGGGAUGGUUGGAUGGGUGAGGGAAUGGUUCAGGGAGUACAAGCACCAUUAGAGUGAGUAGUGCAGCAUGUGGAAAGAAAGGGGGGGAGUUAAUCCAGACAGAAUUCAAGCACCUACCCAACCUGUGAUAUUUUUAGGAACUCAGUGGUGUUGUGGUCCCCAGGAAGUGUUGCCCAGGACUAGGCAAGUGACUUCAGGCUUGGUCACCCCCAGAGCAAGGUGGAAGCCCAGCAGUUUAUUGGUUGGUUUGGCUUUUGGUGACAACAAGGUUCUCCUUUGGGACCAAUCCUUGGCCCGUGCCAUAAAGUCCCAGGACAGAAGUGUGAGUUUGAGUGGGAAAUGAGCAGCAGGGAGGGUUGGAAACAGCUCAGGGAGCAAUUCAACAGGCUCCGGACCCGUGGCCAAUACGAGCCAGAGAGGGGCAACUAAAGGUUCCUGCCAGUGCUAAUGAUGCCACUUGGAGCCUCUGGCAGAAGUAGGGUAGGAAGGAAGUGCCCUUAGGAUUUGGGAAUAGGAAGUUACUGGAAGCCAGCCCAGGAUCGACCCUGUUGGAGAAGUGGCUCUGAAAACUCUGGAUCCUGGCCAUCCUCAGAGCCCUUGUGGUCCCUCUGGGCGAUGCUGUUGGCCCGGGCAGUUCCCUGGAAAAGGUGCCUGGGUCGGGUGACUUGGUUCAAUUUGGAUGGAGAUGGAAAAGCAGCUCCAAACCAGGACCCCAGGACAAGGUGAGCUGGGAAGCAAAUGGCCCUUGCCCAGGGUGCACCAACUGAUAUCGUGCUGGAAAAAUAACACACUGCAAUAGUUGCUGUCUCUGGGAUCAAUUAUAAGAAGGUGCUUCUCCCGUGUCUCUGCCCUGCCCAGGGAUCAAAGGACCAAAGGAAAGGAUGAGAAUUGAGCCCCGGGGCUGCUGCCCCUGAGGAGCAGGGUCAGGGCUGUGUGUGCUCAGGGGCCCUGGCUGAUGGCUGCAGG